UUCACAUUCUUUAUUGCAAGGGUUUUCAUGCAGAAAAAAGAACAGAACAGAACAAAACAAAACAAAGCAAAGAAAAAACACCAGACAAACUAAAAUCAUUCACAGCUUUGAUGGAGACCUCUUCCUUUUAAUGUAUAAAUGUAGCAUCUUAUCUCUGUGAGGAUACAAAGCUUGGAAAUGCUGAGCUAUAACAAAAGCGUGAACGAGCACUUUCUCUGUUACAGGGAAAACACAAGAGAGACUCAGUAGGAUAAGCGUCUCUGCAGAAACUAGUCUGUUACAUACUCGAAAAGCUUUUUUAUUGGGGGGUGUGUGUGAAUCCUGUUUGUCUAGAAAUUGGUGCUUAGCAGCUAGCAAUCUGUUUCAGGAAGCAUAUCUUUAAAAAUAUCAGAGCUCACAGAGAAGGGGCUUGGUUACUUCUCGCGUGCUGAGUGGUCCAAGAAAUCAGCCCUAGAAGGAGAGGAAAUGGAGAAGUUAGUGCCUGUAAAAUCAAAAGGGUGGCAGAAACGCAGGGAAAAAAACGUAGGGAGGAAUCAGCCCCUCCACUCCGUCCUUUUGAGGAGCGGGGCAGGGACACAACAGAAGAUAUUUUUUUUUCUUUUUAAACCUUCUUGCGGGUCGAAGGACUGAUAACGAAAAGGAGAAACUCUACCUUUAAAGUUACAAUUUCUUCAGGGCUCCCCCCUCUCUGCUGGAGGCAGCAAAGAUGGGCUUUCAGAAUCCUCCACCAAAUUGCCUGCCACCCGGCCAACGAACCCCAAAACUCAGGGUGAGCCCCGUCCUUCGGGCUAAAACCGAGCAACAGAUGCCAUCGAGGCUCUGCCGCUCCGGGGCUGGAGGAUCCCGGGCGGGUGCUAUCGCGUCUCCCUGUGUGUGUGUGAGUGCGUGUGGAUACAUUACACGGGCGAGUGGGGUUUGUGCUGUCUGUCCGUGUGAGGAGUGUUGUCUCCCAGCCCUGCAACACGUUGUGGAGCUGGGAUGCGUGGGUUAUAGCUGGAAGGGCUGAACGCAAUUCUUCCGAAAGUCAUAAAUCAAACUCUUUCUAUGAAUGAGAAUGUCAUCAAAGAGAUCAAUUGCAGGAACACAUGCACAAAUAAAAAUCCUCUUACGUAUUUGCCGGGGCUGGGGAUCCCCGUCUAAAACCAUUAAGUGAGAAGGCGUUUAGUCAUAAGUCAUUUUUAUUGCUCUUUUAAAACAACAGCUUGGCUGAGCUGCGGACGCGGCUAAACCUCGGGCCUGCUUCUUCUCCUCCUCUCUGCUCCAGCCCUGUCCCUGCGGAGAAUUAGCAGCCUCACCGGCGUUUUAACUCUGCCACUGUGUUAAAUGGGACCGCAAAGAGCACGUACGGGCUUGGGGUUUCUUUUGUGCCCAGAGUUCUGGAUGCUGGCAACGCUUAAGGAAAGGGGAAAAAAAAAAAAAAAAGGGAAAGGAAAAUGCGAUACGAGAUUUAAACUUCUCGCAAACUCUGUUUAAAUAAGUGGGGGACUCAGCGAGCAGGAGUCGCCUCCGAGUCUCCUGGUGAGCCCUGGGGCCACAGAGGGGGCGCGAUCCCACGGAAAAGCCUAAAUCGCCGGGAUCGCUCCC
rnacentral:lncRNA from 1 species